rnacentral:rRNA from 1 species
GUGGGGAAUAUUGGACAAUGGGCGCAAGCCUGAUCCAGCCAUGCCGCGUGAGUGAUGAAGGCCUUAGGGUUGUAAAGCUCUUUCAGUGGGGACGAUAAUGACGGUACCCACAGAAGAAGCCCCGGCUAACUUCGUGCCAGCAGCCGCGGUAAUACGAAGGGGGCUAGCGUUGUUCGGAUUUACUGGGCGUAAAGCGCACGUAGGCGGAUCGUUAAGUCGGGGGUGAAAUCCUGGAGCUCAACUCCAGAACUGCCUUCGAUACUGGCGAGCUUGAGUCCGGAAGAGGUGAGUGGAACUCCUAGUGUAGAGGUGGAAUUCGUAGAUAUUAGGAAGAACACCAGUGGCGAAGGCGGCUCACUGGUCCGGUACUGACGCUGAGGUGCGAAAGCGUGGGGAGCAAACAGGAUUAGAAACCCUAGUAGUCC